UACGUAGGGUGCGAGCGUUAAUCGGAAUUACUGGGCGUAAAGCGUGCGCAGGCGGUUUUGUAAGCCAGAUGUGAAAUCCCCGGGCUUAACCUGGGAAUGGCAUUUGGGACUGCAAGGCUCGAGUGCGGUAGAGGAGACUGGAAUUCCUGGUGUAGCAGUGAAAUGCGUAGAUAUCAGGAGGAACACCGAUGGCGAAGGCAGGUCUCUGGGCUGACACUGACGCUCAUGCACGAAAGCGUGGGGAGCAAACAGG
rnacentral:rRNA from 1 species